AGGCUUAACACAUGCAAGUCGAGGGGCAGCAUGGUCUUAGCUUGCUAAGGCCGAUGGCGACCGGCGCACGGGUGAGUAACACGUAUCCAACCUGCCGUCUACUCUUGGACAGCCUUCUGAAAGGAAGAUUAAUACAAGAUGGCAUCAUGAGUCCGCAUGUUCACAUGAUUAAAGGUAUUCCGGUAGACGAUGGGGAUGCGUUCCAUUAGAUAGUAGGCGGGGUAACGGCCCACCUAGUCUUCGAUGGAUAGGGGUUCUGAGAGGAAGGUCCCCCACAUUGGAACUGAGACACGGUCCAAACUCCUACGGGAGGCAGCAGUGAGGAAUAUUGGUCAAUGGGCGAGAGCCUGAACCAGCCAAGUAGCGUGAAGGAUGACUGCCCUAUGGGUUGUAAACUUCUUUUAUAAAGGAAUAAAGUCGGGUAUGGAUACCCGUUUGCAUGUACUUUAUGAAUAAGGAUCGGCUAACUCCGUGCCAGCAGCCCGGUAUACGGAGGAUCCGAGCGUUAUCCGGAUUUAUUGGGUUUAAAGGGAGCGUAGAUGGAUGUUUAAGUCAGUUGUGAAAGUUUGCGGCUCAAC
rnacentral:rRNA from 1 species